AUGGCUAGUCCUCCUAUCCUCGUUAUUACUCCCGAACAUGAAAUUCUUAAUUUUAAGCAAAGGGAGGGAGAAAAUUUAAAAGAUCUUUGGCAUAGAAUUUGCAAUGCUCAAAAUAGAUCUACUAGGAAGCUUUCUACUUUCGUUCUUCUUCGCAAUUUUUAUGUAGGCAUUACUCCUUGGAAUAGAUGCAUUCUUGACACCAUUACCGGAGGGGAUUUCUUGAGUAGCCAUACUUUUGAUGCUUAUAAUGCUAUGUUAGAUUUGUUUGGCCCACCACCUCUUUUGGUUAAUGGAACUGUUUUAACUUUGGAACAUGUGAUGCAAAGGCUUGAAAUUAUUGAAAAUAAAGUUGCCAAUGUUGAGUUGAUUGAAAAUUUGGAUAAAAAGAUUCAUAAUCAAAUUACCCAAUAUGGAUCUAGGGUUGGAGUUACUUUGAAAUUUUUUAAAGAGAAAGAACCCAUAGUUAAUUAA
rnacentral:rRNA from 1 species